rnacentral:rRNA from 1 species
UGGGGAAUAUUGGACAAUGGGCGAAAGCCUGAUCCAGCCAUGCCGCGUGUGUGAAGAAGGUCUUCGGAUUGUAAAGCACUUUAAGUUGGGAGGAAGGGCAGUAAGCGAAUACCUUGCUGUUUUGACGUUACCGACAGAAUAAGCACCGGCUAACUCUGUGCCAGCAGCCGCGGUAAUACAGAGGGUGCGAGCGUUAAUCGGAUUUACUGGGCGUAAAGCGUGCGUAGGCGGCUGAUUAAGUCGGAUGUGAAAUCCCUGAGCUUAACUUAGGAAUUGCAUUCGAUACGGGUCAGCUAGAGUAUGGGAGAGGAUGGUAGAAUUCCAGGUGUAGCGGUGAAAUGCGUAGAGAUCUGGAGGAAUACCGAUGGCGAAGGCAGCCAUCUGGCCUAAUACUGAAGCUGAGGUACGAAAGCAUGGGGAGCAAACAGG